rnacentral:rRNA from 1 species
UAAAAAAAGGUAAGCUACUAAGAGCGAAUGGUGGAUGCCUUGACUGGUAAAGGCGAUGAAGGACGUACUAGACUGCGAUAAGCUACGGGGAGCUGUCAAGAAGCUUUGAUCCGUAGAUUUCCGAAUGGGGCAACCCAAUGUAUAGAGAUAUACAUUACCUAUAUAGGAGCGAACGAGGGGAAUUGAAACAUCUUAGUACCCUCAGGAAAAGAAAUCAAUAGAGAUUGCGUCAGUAGCGGCGAGCGAAAGCGCAAGAGGGCAAACCCAGUGCUUGCACUGGGGG